AGUGAACGCUGGCGGUAGGCCUAACACAUGCAAGUCGAGCGGCAGAACAGUACGAGCUUGCUCAUUCGGGUGGCGAGUGGCGGACAGGUGCGAAAUACCUCGGAAUCAACUUUUUCGAGGGGGCUAAAACGGGCAAACAUACGCUAAUCGCGCAUACGACCUAAGGGUGGAAGCAGCGGAUCUUACGCUAUCACACGAUCCAAUGACCCGAUGUCGGAUUAGCUAGUUAGCGGGGUAAAGGGCCACCCAGGCGUCGAUGCGUAGCUGGUCUGAGGAGGUUAUUCACCAAACUGGAACUGAGACACGGUCCAGACUCCUACGGGGAGCAGCAGUUGGGAAUAUUUGACAAUGGGCGCAAGCCUUGUCCAGCCAUACCGCGUGGGUUGAGAAGGGUUUCGGGUUUGUAAACCCUUUUGUUUGGAAAGAAAAGCAGCUGGUUAAUACCCCGCUGUUCUGACGGUACCCAAAGGAUAAGCACCGGCUAACUUCGUU
rnacentral:rRNA from 1 species